rnacentral:pre_miRNA from 1 species
GUAGUAUUCCUUCCGUCCCAAAAUUCUUGUCUUAUAUUUGUUUAGAUACGGAUGUAUCUAACACUAAAAUGUAACUAGAUACAUCCGUAUUUAGACAAAUUUAAGACAAGAAUUUUGGGAUGGAGGGAGUACAAA